UACUUUAAUAAAUCUCUGUGUGUGUUUCAGGAAUGUUGACGAUCACAGACUUCAUCAACAUCCUGACCAGAUACUAUAAAUCCCCCAUGGUUCAGAUCUACGAGCUGGAGGAACAUAAAAUCGAGACGUGGCGAGAGCUGUACCUGCAGGAGACCUUCAAACCUCUGGUGCACAUCUCACCUGACGCCAGGUGAGUUAUUACCUGCUGAAAAUACACUGAGGAAAGUGGACAAGGAAAGGAAACAAGAAAGGAGAGAAGGGGAGAUGAGGAGACUAGGAGAGGAGAGGAAUCAAGAUGAGGAGAAGAGACAAGGAAAGGAAACAAGAAAGGAGAGAAGGGGAGAU